CAGUAGCCACGGUAAUACGGAGGGUGCAAGCGUUAUCCGGAUUUAUUGGGUUUAAAGGGUCCGUAGGCGGACUUAUAAGUCAGUGGUGAAAGCCUGUCGCUUAACGAUAGAACUGCCAUUGAUACUGUAAGUCUUGAGUAUAUUUGAGGUAGCUGGAAUAAGUAGUGUAGCGGUGAAAUGCAUAGAUAUUACUUAGAACACCAAUUGCGAAGGCAGGUUACCAAGAUAUAACUGACGCUGAGGGACGAAAGCGUGGGUAGCGAACAGGAUUAGAUACCCGGGUAGUCCCUGUCUCUUAUAC
rnacentral:rRNA from 1 species